CCAGGAGAAGCCCUGCAUGACUCACCGAGGGCCCAUGCUGGGGGCUUCCGGCCCUGGCGACACCAGACACAGAGCCACUGUUAGCUCCGAGAGUCCUGCUCACAGCUCAAGUCACUGCUGUGAGGAAAGAGCCCGCAGUGGUCAGCACGGGAGGUACUGAGACACCGGCCUCAGGCAGGGUGGCCACCUGGCCCCUUCCUAAGACAAUGCAAGACUGCUGGGAGGACUCUUCAUAGUGCCUCAGAGGAGGGUCUGCCCAGGUCCUGCUGGCGGCUCACGCACGAGGCUCUUAGGAAGAGCCACCCGCUCCUGCCCGAGAACUGCUGUCCAGCUGGGAGCUCACGGCUGGUCCCUCGCUGGCCUGUCCACGUGACCUGGAAGCAAGCUACCAAGCAACAGCACUCCCGGGGUGGAGACAGAGGACAUCUCUCCUGGGAGGCCUUGCGUAGGGGCUUUGAUGUCAGGGCCAGUCCUUCCUCGGUCCCCAAGGUCUCGGCCAGGCAGGCCCUGCCUUUGGAGAAUGUGGCUUCUCCAGGAGGGAUGCCGGGGGCUACAGUUCUCUUGUGGCUGCCUGCAGGGACCAGAUGCUGUGCAUGGAGGGGGGAGCCGGGACCAAAGCCAGCAACCAGCCCUGGUCUCUCCUUCUGCCCCCACCGGGCUCCAAGUUCUCUCUCCUUCUCUCUCCCUCCUGCCCCUCUGUGGCCUAACUCUGUCCUGGGCCACACAAGGAGACUGCUGUUCCUCCUGUCACGGAUAAGUUCGUGGAUUUGGCAGCUUGUCUGCCGUCAGUGGCCUCGCUUCUCCAGAUGGCCUGUCCUCAGUUUCUUCAGCCAUUCCUCGGGGUCACUGUGAGACCUGCAUGGUCCUGCAUGCCCUCACCUGGGCACACCAUGGGCACAGUGUCUCUGAAACUGUGCCUUCCGGGGCCCUGCUGCCGGCUGCUGGGAACUCCAGCUGUCCUCCCUCGGGGUGCUAAACCCCUGCUGGACUGUGUCACACCUGUCCCACGGAGCUUGCCACCCAUCAAACUCCCAGUUCUGAUAGCCACACCAAGCACUGCCCCUAAAUUAGGCCUCAGACCUGUUCUGGGUGGGCUCCAGCUCUUCAGGAGGGACACAGUGUGAAAAAUCACAGGGGUCAGGAGAACCAAGCUCUGCCUCUGAGUUCCCGUGCGGGCCGGCCGUGACUCAGUUUCUCUGGGCUCCAGCUACUCAUGCCUGGCAUAGGGACUGUGUGGGGAGGACCUCACGAAGGUGGUGUGGAAACAUGCUCUGGGGCCUGUGGACUCCCAGGGCUUUUCUGAGGGUGAAAGCCGGAUCUGUACCAGGGGACACUCCACAUGUAGACCAGCUUCUUCUCAGAAACCUCCCUUCCCCGCCCAGGGCCCAGCAGUCUAACCUUUCCAGCACUGACCCCUGCCACACAACCCCAAAGUCAGCUGCGGGAUCCAUGGGGUUUAAUGUGCCAAGGGUUCAUCUUUCCCAUGGCGUACCAAUCGGAGUUGGUUACAACUCCUGGCUCUGCCGAACUAACUGCGCUCUGCUUGGGGACAGUGUCCCUCAGCGCAAGUCAGGGAGUGUUUCAGAGACAGCCCUUCUGGGUAAGAGGAGGGUCUGAGUUCUCCCCUGGGAGGUGCUGGGGCUGUGUCCCAUCCAAUCACGUGGUCGCUCUGCUCUGGCUCCCCCUGCAGGUGGGGUGGGUGCGGCCCAGGGCCUCGGUUGGAGCUGAAAUUGGGCCUGGCACCCUGGAAGUCCGCUGAGGGAUGGGUCCCUUAGGAGGGACAGGGAGCAGCUAGCAGCUGAGGCCGGACAACUUCCCAGAGCCAGGGUGGGCAGAGUUAACUCCAAGAUCUAAAAACAUCAAGUUCCAGGACGGAGUACCCCGACCUUGAGAAGUCUAGGCUGCUCCCCCAGAACACACACAGCCCUGACUCCCCUUGACAGGAGGCCGGCACCGUGUACCAGGACCAUCACCAGGGUCCAGGCUUGGGUUCGUUGCUUAGUCGUCCUAAGCUGGGGCCAAGCAAAUCAAACAGACUCAGUAGCUUCAGCGGGCCUGCCUUGCCUGCAGCACGCCCUCCCAAAAGUACUGCUCUGACACUGACCCCCUGAAGAGCCCCCCAACACGCUCAUCCCGUCCUGCUUGCCAUCUUCCGAAGCAGUGCUGGGAGUCCUCUUUCCUGAGUGUCUUUAGUGGCAUUACUGUCACUGCCUUAAUGUCCUGAUUUGAUUUAAAAUGUUAACCUGUACUGGGCAUUUUGACUUUGGGGAAGAGCCAGAAGUUGCACGGUGACAGAUCCAGCGAGCAGGGUGGAUGAGACGCGCUGUGAUGCUUUUACAAGCCUGCCCUUCCUUGGAUGGUGCUCAGCAGCAGCAGUCCGCGAGUUUUUGUCACACCCUGUAAACACUCACGAAAGAGGACUUCCAGAUCUGCUUCAGAAAGUGGCAGGAACAACGGGGCAGUGUGUUUGGAGCAAGAGGGAGAUUUUGAGGGAGAUUUUGAGGGAGAUUACCAGCAAUGUGUCUUUUAUUGUAAUGUAUUUUAAAAAGGUAAACAUCCAUCUCAUUGUCCCAUCACGCCAUGUAUAUCCUGCCUGCUGCCCUCUGUCCCUUUGGGGCCCCGGGGUGUCCUCUCUGGGAAUUUCCAAGCAGUGGGAGGGAGUCUGUUUUCAAUUGUGUUCCACAGGUGGAUGAAGACAGCCCAGCCCAGCAUGGAGGCCGGGAAGGCGGGCCUGGAGUCCGUCACUCAUUACUGAAAUGACCAGAAGGCGGUUCGAGGGACUUCAGGUGCUGAGCUGCUGCUGACAAAGCACGGGUGGGGGUGGGAGAGAGCGAAGAGGGAAGGCAGGGGACCCACACCAGUUUCAAAGGCAGUGAGCCACCGCAGGGGCCAGGCGCUUGGCUUGGCUCCACACGCCAUGCGCCGGCCCCAACCCACCUGGCUCAGGCCUCUCUCCUCUGCUUUCUGAAGGCUGUGCGGGUUUUCAGGGCCUGCUCCCGUCCUACGAUGACACCAUCUCUUGGGCCCUCACAAGAGCGGACUCCCCUGGCCCUGGGGCGCAGGGCCCUUCCCCACUUGGCUCACCAAGUCCAAAGGCCUGGGCCCCACUGUCCAGGGCUUCCUUCCCCAGCCAGCCAUCCGCCUACCCGUCCCUGCUUUCAGGACUUUGGGGCCUGUGCCCUGAGGCAGGAGACUAGGGCACUGCAGGCUGGCUGAAAAUAGGUUUCGGAUGUAACCCAAGCCUGACUGGAGACCGAUCAACAGGAUGUGAUGUGUGCAUCACAGCCAGGCUGCGUGGGCAGAGCAGCUUCCUCCCAGUCAGAGUCUGGGCGGAUACGAAAGACAGUGGCCACUGACCGCUGCCUCUGAGACCCUGCUGUCCGAUGCUUCCUGUUUUUGCAGUGGCCACUCCUGCACCCGGUCCGUAUCUCUUCUUGCUGUUCUCUUCUGCACUUUCCCUUUCUUUCUCUACCUUAAAUGAAAGUUGUGUCCACCCAUUCAUCUGCUGUCCCUGCCAAUUCUUUGGGCAGGACAGGAAGAGCCUGGGGUCACCAGACCUGGCACCAUCCAGCCGCAGCCUGGGACCCAGCAGCUCAUUCCCAGCUGCUGUCUGUGCCUGAUAUCCCUGGACUUCCGCACACAGCAGGAGGAGGGACCCUCUGACCAGGGGCCGUGUCCCUCCCAGCCCAGGCCUCCCGGAGGCCCAUCUGUGUCAGUUUCCCAGGGUGGUGGUCACAGAUGACAGCAGAGCUGUCUUCUCUCACAGUUCUGCAAGGCAAGGCUGAAAUGGAGUGGCGGCAGGGCCCCGUCCCGACCCCCCCCUGCCUUCCCCAGCCCCUGACCCCUGGCCACUGCAGUCUUUGCCUCUGGCUUUCCUGGUCUCCCCUCUUUCCCCACGUCUGUCCUCUGCAUGUCACUGCAAAAGCCCUUGUGUUGGAUGAUCGGCUGAGCGCAUCUCGAGGCUCCCUGGGGUGACUGCACUCGCAAGAUUUCACACACUGGUAGGCUCCUCAGAUAGGACUCCAGCACAGGCUCUUGGGGCCACCACUCGACCCCGACAGCAUCUCCUGAGACACUCCCAGGUCACGGCAUGGCUGCCGCCAUCCUGCCUCCCCCGCCGUCCCUCUGGCUCACCGGGGUGCUCCAGCCCCGGGGCUUCCCUGACACUCUUCAGGGCCGGUCACCGGUCUGGCACCAGGGAGGCCUCCUCCCACCGCGUCAGAGUGCACCUCAAACACUCCUCUCCAUGCUCCAUCUGCCCCUGAUCACCACCGCGGAGCGCGUCACCGCUUCAUCUUGUUCUCCUCCCCCUGCAGCAGAAGCCAGGGAAGUUUGUAAGUUCUGCCUUGUUCUUGUGGUGCUGGGGAUUGAACCCAGGGAGCACUGAGCUACAGCCCCAGCUCUUUGGUUAAGUUUUUACUUUGAGAUGGGGUCUUGCUAAGUCGCCCACGCUGGCCUCUGACUGCAGCCUCCUGAGUAGCUGGGAUGGCAGGUGUGCGCCGCCUCACCCGGCUAAAUCCCACUGCUGUGUCCCAGCAGCCAGUAUAAUGCCUGGCACUGGCUGGCUGUGGCUGAGUGGAUGAAUAAGCAAGCCUUUGCCAGAGCUGAACUCUCAGCUGCCAGGAGUCCACGGCCACCUGAAGAUCACCACAGCUCCCUGCAGGCCUCCGCUACCCUUGGACUCUCUGGGGGCUCCAAUCCCGGCGUGGCCGCCUUUUCAAGUGCACGAGUCCGGAGAGGGGCCAUGUGGGUCUAGAAGAUGCUUCCUCACGCACAGCACAAAGCAGCUGUGGGCCUUGACCCUUCAGCGCCCCUCCUUCCUGGCCCGGCCCAGGUGUGGACAGGGCAGGCUGUGCUGGCCCUGUGCCCCGGGGGCCUCCAGAGCUACAUGGCUGGGGGGUGAGGUGGGGUCAGGGGCCUUGGGGGGAGCUCAGUCCUACAGUGGCCACCUCCCAGGUAGGCAUGGAGGGCUGCACACAGCCCUAACCAUGAGGAGACCCGACACGCUCCCUGACCAACUCCCCUAGGAUGUGUCACACCUCUGCUGAUGGCUGGCUCCAAGUGCUGGAAUCCCGCUUCCUCCCCUCUACACCCGGGCAUCUGACCAUGAAGACAGCUGUGCUGCGGCAGCGGAGCACUGGUCAGACGGUGUCUGAUGCUUGAGCCAGGCUUCUGGGAAAGCAGGGCCCUGUGCCCCCGAGUGAGGUCUGCUGUGGGUGUGCAGGUGACUGAGGCCCCGGGGGCUGAGGCUGGGUGAGCUGCUCGGGAGAGUGCUUUGGCCACAGAGCUAGGUGAGUCUGUGGGUUUGGGAGGCAGAGAAAAGGCCCUGGGGCAGGAGGCCCAAGUGAGCGGCUGUGUUUGGAGCACUCUGAGGCCAGUGUGGGCUGUAGGCUAGGAAGGCCGUGCCGGCCCAGCGGAAAGGGGGUCCCCCGGGCUGAGGCCCAGGUCGCUACUCUGCAUCCUGCAAGGCUGUGGCCCUUGGCAGCGGAGGCUGGUCCCCGGCAGGGUCUGGAUGAGAAGGCCACGCUCACCAGGGAUGGUUGGAAGUGAGGCCUCCUGUCCUCAUCCUGUCAGGCUAUAAAACGAAACGCCACACGCCGAGAGGCCUAACAACAACAGAAAUGAUCUGAGUUCCAGAGGCAGGAGGCCCAAGACCAAGGGCCUGCAGAUUCCUCGUGUGGUGGGGCCGCUCGCCGGCUGCUGGCGGCAGCGUCUUCCUGUGUGCCCGCGCAGUGGAAGGGCUCUUCUGGAAGGCCAGGACCCCAGGCAGGACUCCGACCUCCCAAGCCCUCCCAACCCCUUCCGCCCUCCCUCCGGACGCCUCAUCAUGGGCGGGGUUCGACACUGAGGGCCACGAGCAUUCCGACCUCAGCACCUCCUUGGGUCAGAGACAGCCCAGCGCACCCUCCCCACACAGGGGGCACCCUUGCACCUGGAGCGAUGGGCUGGGGAGACUGCCACGCCCAUCCAGGAGGCUGCUCUGGCAGGGUUGGACCUCAUUUUCCACCUGUGUGUGGAGCUGACGGCAGCGUGCCCAUGCAGGCUGGGCAGGUGUGGCUGUGCCCUGCAGAAAGGCUGGGCUGCCAGGCAGAGCCGGUCCCCCAGAAGAACCCCAGAACUCACGCCCAAAUGCAAUCGGCUCUGUAACAGUGUUAGCGCUGGGGUCAUUACGCAGUGACCAGGUGCUCUUAAAAAAAGGUCCGGAGACCUAUCUUGCCUUUCCAUGCAGGAAGACAGCGAGACGACACUGUCUGUGUCCUUACCGGAUGUCUAGUCGGCAAGGACUUCGAUGCUGGACCUCUAACUGCCAGAG
ensembl:lncRNA